AGCGAACGCUGGCGGCAGGCUUAACACAUGCAAGUCGAGCGGGCGUAGCAAUACGUCAGCGGCAGACGGGUGAGUAACGCGUGGGAACGUACCUUUUGGUUCGGAACAACACAGGGAAACUUGUGCUAAUACCGGAUAAGCCCUUACGGGGAAAGAUUUAUCGCCGAAAGAUCGGCCCGCGUCUGAUUAGCUAGUUGGUGAGGUAACGGCUCACCAAGGCGACGAUCAGUAGCUGGUCUGAGAGGAUGAUCAGCCACAUUGGGACUGAGACACGGCCCAAACUCCUACGGGAGGCAGCAGUGGGGAAUAUUGGACAAUGGGCGAAGCCUGAUCCAGCCAUGCCGUGUGAGUGAUGAAGGCCUCGGUUGUAAAGCUCUUCGUCACGCGACGAUGAUGACGGUAGCGUGAGAAGAAGACCCCGGCGUAACUUCGUGCCAGCAGCCGCGGU
rnacentral:rRNA from 1 species